rnacentral:lncRNA from 1 species
ACAUGCAUUACAACAGUUCUAAAUGACACUCCCUCCAUCCGUUUAUAAAAUGACAGUUUUUGAAAAGUUUGGUGUUAUAUAUAAUACAUUAUAAUAAUAUAGAAAAACUAAUCUAAUAAUGAUUGAGUAAACUAAUACGGCAGAGGCCAUCAUCACAUCAACAAUAUCGAAGUUCCAAAAUUGAAUAGUUUAGCGAAUUAAAAUUAUUAUGUUAAACCUUAACACGUCGAGAUAAAUACAAAAAUUGGAUCGGGAGUAUGACCUUCCUAACAUAAUACAAAAGCAGAUCCUCUUCCAAGCCGCAUUAAUAAAAAAACACGGUUGCCGAAAUAUACAGAGCUAAUCCAACUAGUCAGAAAAGAAGAUCCAUACAAGAACAGGACUUUUCACCAAUAACUAUUUGUAAGGAAUCCAGCACAUAGCAACAACGAUCCAAAACGAACUACAGAAUCAUCACACAAGCAAGGAUUUAAACAGCCCAUGCUAAAAACAUCGAGCAAUUUACAUCCCAAAUAAAAAAAAAUUUAAAAAAAAAAGGAAGGAUAGAAAAGUACCGGAGAGAAGAUCCUGAUAAACCAACAUUAUCGUAGAAAAUUUUUCUCUGUUUCUCCCUCUGAAGAACUUGCUCAACAAAAACGCACAAGAGGAGGAGAAAACA